rnacentral:rRNA from 1 species
UACGUAGGGGGCGAGCGUUGUCCGGAUUUAUUGGGCGUAAAGAGCGUGUAGGCGGCCAGGUAGGUCCGUUGUGAAAACUCGAGGCUCAACCUCGAGACGUCGAUGGAAACCAUCUGGCUAGAGUCCGGAAGAGGAGAGUGGAAUUCCUGGUGUAGCGGUGAAAUGCGCAGAUAUCAGGAGGAACACCAAUGGCGAAGGCAGCUCGCUGGGACGGUACUGACGCUGAGGCGCGAAAGCGUGGGGAGCAAACAGG